GGUGAUCUACCCAUGUCCAGGAUGAAGGUAAGGUAAUACUUACUGGAGGUCCGAACCCACGCACGUUGAAAAGUGCGGGGAUGAGGUGUGGGUAGCGGAGAAAUUCCAAUCGAACUUGGAGAUAGCUGGUUCUCUCCGAAAUAGCUUUAGGGCUAGCCUCGAGGUAAAGAGUCAUGGAGGUAGAGCACUGUUUGGACUAGGGGCCCUUCUCGGGUUACCGAAUUCAGAUAAACUCCGAAUGCCAUGUACUUAUACUCGGGAGUCAGACUGCGAGUGAUAAGAUCCGUAGUCGAAAGGGAAACAGCCCAGACCACCAGUUAAGGUCCCCAAAUAUAUGUUAAGUGGAAAAGGAUGUGGGGUUGCUUAGACAACCAGGAUGUUGGCUUAGAAGCAGCCACCAUUGAAAGAGUGCGUAAUAGCUCACUGGUCGAGUGACCCCGCGCCGAAAAUGUACCGGGGCUAAACAUAUUACCGAAACUGUGGAUGAACCUCUUUAGAGGUUCGUGGUAGGAGAGCGUUCUAAGGGCGGUGAAGUCAGACCGGAAGGACUGGUGGAGCGCUUAGAAGUGAGAAUGCCGGUAUGAGUAGCGAAAGAAGGGUGAGAAUCCCUUCCACCGAAUAUCUAAGGUUUCCUGAGGAAGGCUCGUCCGCUCAGGGUUAGUCGGGACCUAAGCCGAGGCCGAUAGGCGUAGGCGAUGGACAACAGGUAGAGAUUCCUGUACCAGUGCUAAUUGUUUAACCGAUGGGGUGACACAGAAGGAUAGGGAAUCGCACGAAUGGAAAUGUGCGUCCAAGCAGUGAGUGUGAGAAGUAGGCAAAUCCGCUUCUCGCGAAGCAUGAGCUGUGAUGGGGAAGGAAAUUAAGUACGGAAGUUCCUGAUUUCACGCUGUCAAGAAAAGCCUCUAGGAAGAGUAGUACUGCCCGUACCGCAAACCGACACAGGUAGAUGAGGAGAGAAUCCUAAGGUGAGCGAGAGAACUCUCGUUAAGGAACUCGGCAAAAUGACCCCGUAACUUCGGGAGAAGGGGUGCUCUAUUAGGGUGCAAGCCCGAGAGAGCCGCAGUGAAUAGGCCCAGGCGACUGUUUAGCAAAAACACAGGUCUCUGCAAAACCGUAAGGUGACGUAUAGGGGCUGACGCCUGCCCGGUGCUGGAAGGUUAAGAGGAGUGCUUAGCUUCGGCGAAGGUACGAAUUGAAGCCCCAGUAAACGGCGGCCGUAACUAUAACGGUCCUAAGGUAGCGAAAUUCCUUGUCGGGUAAGUUCCGACCCGCACGAAAGGCGCAACGAUCUGGGCACUGUCUCAACGAGAGACUCGGUGAAAUUAUAGUACCUGUGAAGAUGCAGGUUACCCGCGACAGGACGGAAAGACCCCGUGGAGCUUUACUGCAACCUGAUAUGGAAUGUUUGUACCGCUUGUACAGGAUAGGUAGGAGCCGAAGAGACGUGUGCGCUAGCAUACGAGGAGGCAAUGGUGGGAUACUACCCUGGCUGUAUGACCAUUCUAACCCGCCACGCUUAGCGCGUGGGGAGACAGUGUCAGGUGGGCAGUUUGACUGGGGCGGUCGCCUCCUAAAGAGUAACGGAGGCGCCCAAAGGUUCCCUCAGAAUGGAUGGAAAUCAUUCGCAGAGUGUAAAGGCACAAGGGAGCUUGACUGCGAGACUGACAAGUCGAGCAGGGACGAAAGUCGGGCUUAGUGAUCCGGUGGUUCCGCAUGGAAGGGCCAUCGCUCAACGGAUAAAAGCUACCCCGGGGAUAACAGGCUUAUCUCCCCCAAGAGUCCACAUCGACGGGGAGGUUUGGCACCUCGAUGUCGGCUCGUCGCAUCCUGGGGCUGUAGUCGGUCCCAAGGGUUGGGCUGUUCGCCCAUUAAAGCGGCACGCGAGCUGGGUUCAGAACGUCGUGAGA
rnacentral:rRNA from 1 species